AAUUAGCUAAACAAAGAAAUCAUGGCGGAUUGUUUACAUUUGGCAGCGCCCGGGCUGCGCCGACCGCCGGCCCCGAGCCGCCGCGGGCUCCGAGGAGUCGGCCGAGCUGCUCCCGCGCCCUGGCCGGCUGGGUCUUCAUCCUCAUUGUACUCCCUUGGCAUCUCAUGGUGACGUGACUUAGAAGGUGGUGCAGAGACGUUUGAAACUAUUGCUUUGCUGAAAACAUCUGACUGCCAGGCUAGGAUGUGACACUUAAGGGACUUACCAAUUUGGGAUUCUUCCAGGAGCUGAAAACUGAUUGCAAAUAUGAAACAGAUUUCACUACAGGACUUGAACCCUACAUUAAAAAACAACAAGCUCCCCAAAAUAAUUGAAAAAGAUCUUCACCAAAGAGUAGCUGCAAUGUGAAUGGCAGGAUAUGAAGCAAGUAAGAGCAAUGUGGGGAAUCCUGGAAGAGCCCUUCUGUGAAACAACUUGACUGACUAGCAAGGAGCCUGUUUUGUUUUCCAGCUUGAAAGUCACUUUUUGAUUUGUUCUACACACUUCGUCACGUGUUCACUGCACAGGAGAGGUCGACUGGCACUCUGCACUGAGCAGAAUCAUAUGUUACCCUCGCCCUGCCAUUUCCAUCAUUCCACUGUGCUCUCCCUGAACCAGAUGGUGAAAAGAUUAUCUUAAGCUUGGAAUUAAGUGAUGAAAGGGACCUUCGAAAUUAUCAACUCUAAAUACUUCUUUACAGGAAAAUUGAAAGCAGUUAAGAACCUGCCCCCUACCGUGGAGUUCUUGGUGCCGUGAGUUGGAGUUCUUGGUGCCUGGGUGCGUCCCCAAGGCCACUGGUCUUCAGAUCUUUCUUACUUGAGAAGAACGCCUCCGCCUCCUGGCUCUCCCACCAGUGGUAUUGCCACCACCACACACCAGCAUAAAGCACAGAUUGCUGCCCAGCUCCUUGGAGAGGGGCCAGUGCAUUUGUCAGGAAUUGAAAAGUUUUGGAGCCAGUUCGAGGACUUUCUCCUGCACAAAGUGUUGGCUGGAAGCAUGAAGCAAUAACACAUGGUUUGCCAAAGAAUCUGCAUUGAAUAAUACUGGUGGUGACCACAAGAACAUGCCUCUCUGACUGCAAGGAACAAGAGUGACCCAGGGUUUCAGCUGCUGCCUUGGAAAUUCAUCACAGUGCAAGUCUAUGCUUCCCACGGGCUGCUCCCAGCCUGUGAAUAAGCCUGGCAUCUUUGUUGAGGCAGGCCUAUUUCUGGAGAUGCAGGAUCCUCCGAUGGGCGAAUUUGGCUCUAGGACUGCUUGAUGGCCUUGACAGACUUUCCUUAGAAAUGCAUGGCAAUUUAGGGUUCCUCCACCCUUCCCUCUUUCUCUCCUUCACCUAGGGUCGGACUUGCAUCAUGGCCUGAAAGCUCCACCAGCCUCUCCUGCCCUCCUCCUCAUUUUCUUUCACAGGCAUAUCCUCUAAUAAAUUUCUUGCACAUUGAAUCUCAUCUUGGCAUCUACUUAUUGGAGGAUCUGAAAAUUCACAUUUUUAACACAAUAAUAAAAUUCACAUUUUUUCAUCAUCCACUAUAUGCCAAGUAAUGUGUUACUGUGUAGUCUCAUUAAAUCCUCUCAAAUCCAAGAGAUAAGAAUUACAUUUAUUUUACAAGAAGAAAAGCAGUCACUCUGAGAGGUAAAAUAAUGUAUAUGGCAGUAGAUUGCAGAGUUAGCAUUUGAAGAAUGUUCGGUUGUACUCCAAAGCCCACCACAAAACUCCACCACUAAACCACAGCACCUUUGGAGCAAUUGGAAUGACGAUUCUGUUCAAAUCAUAUUAAUACCAAUCACUGUAUUUGACUUUUUCGUUUAGAUGUGGCUGUGAUUGAAAAAUCAUGGUCUUUGUAUAUAGUCACCUGUUCUAUCUGCCUUUGUUUUGGGGGACUGCCACCUGAAAUUCCUGACUUUUACCCUGGGAGGGGCUUGUGCAGAGGAUCUGAGUUACUCAUCUGAACGGACUGCCUAAAGACACCUCAGUUUGUGUUGUCUGUGCAUUCACUCAGCCUCCAUAGCUAAACUAAGAUGCUGGGAAUGAGAGACUGUUCAAGGAGUAGAAGCCUUGCUUCUAGCUUCUAUAUUCC
rnacentral:lncRNA from 10 species